AUGUACCACUCGUACACUGCGGUUCUGAGCGUGCCGUCCACGCCUACCUGACGACUGCUAGCUACGUUGUGUUGACC
rnacentral:sRNA from 2 species